AAGAGUUUGAUCCUGGCUCAGGACGAACGUUGGCGGCGUGCUUAACACAUGCAAGUCGAGCGGUUGAGAGGUGGGAGUUGAGAAGUUAGACAUGAGAGAAAUUAAGAGCGGCGGACGGGUGAGUAACGCGUGGAUAAUCUGCCUGUAAGACAGGGAUAACGCCGGGAAACCGGUGCUAAUACCGGAUAACCUCUUUAGACCGCAUGAUCUAAAGAGAAAAGGUGGCCUCUUUACAAUGCUACCACUUAUAGAUGAAUCCGCGUCCCAUUAGCCAGUUGGUGGGGUAAUGGCCUACCAAAGCAACGAUGGGUAGCCGGCCUGAGAGGGUGACCGGCCACACUGGAACUGAGAUACGGUCCAGACUCCUACGGGAGGCAGCAGUGGGGAAUCUUCCGCAAUGGGCGAAAGCCUGACGGAGCAACGCCGCGUGAGCGAAGAAGGUCUUCGGAUUGUAAAGCUCUGUGAUAUUGGACGAACAAUUUCCCGUAAAUAAUGGGAAGAAGGUGAGGGUACAAUAAGAGGAAGCCACGGCUAACUACGUGCCAGCAGCCGCGGUAAUACGUAGGUGGCAAACGUUGUCCGGAAUUACUGGGCGUAAAGGGCGAGUAGGUGGUUUAUUAAGUCAGAAGUGAAAACUCCAGGCUCAACUCGGAGACUGCUCCUGAAACUGUUAGACUUGAGUGCAAGAGAGGGAAGUGGAAUUCCUAGUGUAGCGGUGAAAUGCGUAGAUAUUAGGAGGAACACCAGUGGCGAAGGCGACUUCCUGGACUGUAACUGACGCUGAGGCACGAAAGCGUGGGGAGCAAACAGGAUUAGAUACCCUGGUAGUCCACGCUGUAAACGAUGAGUGCUAGGUGUCGGGCGUCAAAACUCGGUGCCGCAGCUAACGCAUUAAGCACUUCGCCUGGGGAGUACGGUCGCAAGACUGAAACUCAAAGGAAUUGACGGGGGCCCGCACAAGCGGUGGAGUAUGUGGUUUAAUUCGACGCAACCCGAAGAACCUUACCUAGUCUCGAACUUGACAGAUAUAGAAAUAUAGACUUCUUAGUUUACUAAGACACAGAGACAGGUGGUGCAUGGUUGUCGUCAGCUCGUGUCGUGAGAUGUUGGGUUAAGUCCCGCAACGAGCGCAACCCUUAUUGCUAGUUACCAGCAUUAAGUUGGGCACUCUAACGAGACUGCCGGUGUCAAAUCGGAGGAAGGUGGGGAUGACGUCAAAUCAUCAUGCCCCUUAUGAUCUGGGCUACACACGUGCUACAAUGGCCGGUACAACGGGCAGCGAAGUCGAGAGAUGGAGCGAAUCCUAAAAAGCCGAUCCCAGUUCGGAUUGUGGGCUGAAACUCGCCCACAUGAAGUUGGAGUUGCUAGUAAUCGCGAAUCAGCAUGCCGUGGUGAAUGCGUUCCCGGGUCUUGUACACACCGCCCGUCACACCAUGGAAGUUGGGGGGACCCGAAGCCAGUGAUCCAACCGUAAGGAGGAAGCUGUCGAAGGUAAAACCAAUGACUGGGGUGAAGUCGUAACAAGGUAACC
rnacentral:rRNA from 1 species